GGAGUAAGGAAUUUCCACUGGAGGAAGGAUUGGAAGCGGCGCGAGUCUCCGACAACCACGCUCUGAAACUACCACGUUUUGGAAAAGAUACAACCUGCAAUGCAAUGCAAGAAAUGUAACUUUUCCCACUCGAAUGUGAGGACCCUCAUUAAUCACUACCGGCUCGUACAUGCUCAAGGAAGAACUUGGCCCUGCCCCUAUUCUGAUUGUGUCUGCACCUUUAGGACAUCAGAAUGCUGUUGCGGGUGUGCAUAUCCUCAGACAACAUUCGGCGGGUCAACCUUCCUUGUCUGCCAGAAUCUGUGGAUCAACUGAAGGAUAUUCUCAGAGAGAUGCUUGGACUGACAGAACAAUUUUCUUUGCAAUUUGAAGAUCCAGAGUUUGGCAAUGCUCUUUGUAAUUUACACAGCAUAGAUGAGUUGCCUGCAGACAAAGCAAUCCUAAAAGUUGUGUGGGACAACACAGCCUCUGAUGAUACUCAGACACCUGCAUCAGAUCUGUCCGAUACAAAUUCGGUGUCAUCACUUGACACAGCAAGCACAUCUAGUCAUGAGAAUU